AACGAACGCUGGCGGCAUGCUUAACACAUGCAAGUCGAACGAAACCUCCCUGUCUAUGUGCGCUCCUCUGCGUACCACCUGGUAACUUACACGUAAGUUCCCUAUCCCUCCCCUUGGGAGGUCCUCAUGCCGCUUAAGCUCUUCCCACCAAGGAUUUCUCGCCUUUGGAUGGGCGCGCGUUGGAUUCGCCAGUUGGUAGGGUAAAAGCCUACCAAGGGGACGAUCCAUAGCUGGUGUGAGAGGAUGAUAAGCCACACUGGGACUGAGACACGGUCCAGACUCCUACGGGAGGCAGCAGUGGGGAAUAUUGGACAAUGGGCGAAAGCCUGAUCCAGCAAUGCCGCGUGAGUGAUGAAGGCCUUAGGGUUGUAAAGCUCUUUUACCCGGGAUGAUAAUGACAGUACCGGGAGAAUAAGCUCCGGCUAACUCCGUG
rnacentral:rRNA from 1 species